rnacentral:rRNA from 1 species
GACGAACGCUGGCGGCGUGCCUAAUACAUGCAAGUAGGACGCAGUUGCGAACGGGUGAGUAACGCCUAGGUAACUGCCUAUUAGAGGGGGAUAACUAUUGGAAACGAUAGCUAAUACCGCAUACUAGUAGAUGGACCUGCGUUGUAUUAGCUAGUAGGUAGGGUAAUGGCCUACCUAGGCGACGAUACAUAGCCGACCUGGGAGGGUGAUCGGCCAACAUGGGACUGAGACACGGCCCCGACUCCUACCGGAGGCAGCAGGAGGGAAUCUUCGGCAAUGGGGGGAACCCUGACCGAGCAACGCCGCGGUAGAUAAGGAGGUUUUCGGGUCGUAAAUCUCUGUUGUUCAGGAAGCGGUACUUAACCAGAAAGGGACGGCUAACUACGUGCCAGCAGCCGCGGUAAUAC